UAAAGCAGUACCAUACAUUAAUAAAAUUAUGUAUUUUUUAAAACAUGGUGUUUUCACUAAUGUCAAAAAUCUCAACAGCCUCUGCCUGGGACUGAAAAACAAUUUAAAGACGGGAAGACCUGGUAUUACAGUCAAAGCCUUGGAUGAAUAGCAAAGGCUAAUGAGAUGUCAGUUUUUAUUUGACCCAGUUGUAACCCAGAUAUGGAGGUGACCUGACUGCUAAUUUAUUAGUGAGACUGUUGUGGCAGCUCCUGCUGUAAUGGCUUAAAAUGAAAUGAUUUUUCUCCAGCUUUUCAGAACAUUGCUUGGUUUUUGUGUUUUUAAAUUUUGAGUUGUAAUGGUUUCCUUCUUUUUAUCUGUAGCCCUCACAUGAUUUCAACCUUCAUGUUAGAAAAACAAACAAAAAACAUUAUCUAGAGGCAUCUAAAAGAUAUAUUUAAGAAAAUACCUCAUCAUAUCUCUGUUUCCAACACCUUCCAGCUGUGGUGCUGGGAGAAGACACAAUACUGAGUGUGGUCCCUUAGGCUGCCUUCAUCCACUGGAUCUCAUUAUGUGGAUGCUUUAGGCAGGGGCCUUUUACAACCUAUGAGCAAUACUGCAGUAGAGCCCCAGGAAAAAUAACAUCUGGAAGUUGUCUUGAGCUUGCAAAACUUCUACUCCUCCUAAGUCAUGUGUCACUUCCUCUAAGAUUCGAAGUCAUAAUAGAAAAACGAAAAUGGAAGUGACACUGUCAGCAGUGUGACCCUCACAGCUGUGCAUCCACUGGGACCCAGAAGAAAUUGCUUCUAAAUGCCAAUAGGAAAUGCCAUAGGAAACUGGUCAGCAGAGCAUUACGUUUGCGCUCUGAUUUGGCACUCUUCAGUCCAGCAUAGAGAGAGCACUACAGGCUGUUGGCACCAGGCAAAGCAAGGGGCUUUUCAAGGCUGCAGUAUUAAGAAAGGCAGAACUGAACAACCGCUGGCAUCACUGACAGAAAAGACGAACUUCAAAGUGGAGAGUCACCUUGGAGUGCUCAGAACAAGAGAGAUGCUCUUGAUGUACCUGGUCUGUGAAUGAAGAGGAGAGAGAUGUUUCCAUAGCUGUCAAUCUUUCUCUUGGAGAAGCGCUAAAUUCUCUUAGAAGCAUAAGUACUAGAAGAAAAUGUACCACACAGACACGCAGAGCAUAAACAUCAUUUUUAUUCAGGAACUUCCAAAAUAUAUUUAAUAAUUAUUUUUCAUAAUUUUCUUCACACGUCAGGUGCAAAAUAUUCACCUGCUCAUGUGGGCUGUAGCAGUUUCCUAUAUUAGGCAAAAUAACAAGCCUAAUCAUUAAUAUUAUUGAUCACAUUGUUUCAAGCAAAACAGCUGACAGUCAAAUGUGGAUAGCUUUCUCUUAAGAGUGGCACACUUCUGUUACUCUUGUGUAGAAGAUGGCUGACACACACAUCCGUAUAUCAGCUGGGUAUCCAUACAUCAGCUCCUUGGUAGAGCCUUGUCUUUUCCAUUCAAGGAGGUCUUUGGCUGCAAUCCCAAGUAAGCAGUAAAUGCCCCAAAGUGGCAUCGCUCUGCAUUUACAGAAAUGCAGUGAAAGCAGAAUUAGAUGUGAUGCAAUUAAUGUGCCCUCUGCAAUUCUUGUAAAAACACAGUCUUAUUGAUAAAGAAUAACAAAUUGAUUUGUUUUAAGGCCUGAGCUUCCAUGAGAUAUCAGAAGCUGUCCAUAGGAACAAAUUUAACAGAGCCAGGGGACUGGCUUGAGUACUCUCCUGUGCUAUCCUUUUAUUUAUUUGUUAUCCAUUGUCACUUUGGGUUUUGGGUUAGUCUGGUAGCAAACACCUGCUCCAUGGGUGAUAUUUCAGCUGAGUUUAGCAUUGCUGUCAUUGCUUCAGGGAAUUCGGUAGCUCUGUGGGUACAGUAUUCUUCUGCCUAGUACAUUUGCCACCAGUUUGUGAUGGAGCUAUGGUUAUGAGGGGAAAGAAUAUGGCAUGUUUGAUAUGGCCUUGCCUUUCUUGUGUCUCUAAUGUGCACUUGCUGCUGGAGGAGGAGGGGAGAGAAGCAGCUU
ensembl:lncRNA